UUUUUGAGGUGGUAAUCUCCUUUUCAACAGGUUUAAACACGUUUUACUCAGGAGGAUUGGUUCAUUAGGGUCAACAGGUUUAAACACGUUUUACUCAGGAGGAUUGGUUCAUUAGGGUCAACAGGUUUAAACACGUUUUACUCAGGAGGAUUGGUUCAUUAGGGUCAACAGGUUCAAACACGUUUUACUCAGGAGGAUUGGUUCAUUAGGGUCAACAGGUUUAAACACGUUUUACUCAGGAGGAUUGGUUCAUUAGGGUCAACAGGUUUAAACACGUUUUACUCAGGAGGAUUGGUUCAUUAGGGUCAACAGGUUUAAACACGUUUUACUCAGGAGGAUUGGUUCAUUAGGGUCAACAGGUUUAAACACGUUUUACUCAGGAGGAUUGGUUCAUUAGGGUCAACAGGUUUAAACACGUUUUACUCAGGAGGAUUGGUUCAUUAGGGUCAACAGGAUUAAACAAACAUUGAAUAAGGAGCUCAAAAAUUGUCUUCUUGAACUUUAAAAUCCUUCUGG